rnacentral:rRNA from 1 species
UACGUAGGGUCCGAGCGUUGUCCGGAAUUAUUGGGCGUAAAGGGCUCGUAGGCGGUCUGUUGCGUCGGGAGUGAAAACUUACAGCUUAACUGUGAGCGUGCUUUCGAUACGGGCAGACUUGAGGCAUUCAGGGGAGAACGGAAUUCCUGGUGUAGCGGUGAAAUGCGCAGAUAUCAGGAAGAACACCCGUGGCAAAGGCGGUUCUCUGGGACGGUACUGACGCUGAGACGCGAAAGCGUGGGGAGCGAACAGG